UACGAGCCCAGACGAUCCGGGCCAGAGGUUGAGGGCUGGAUGCACCUAGGUGUAGUAGUCGAGCGACACCUAACGGACAAAGGGAGCUGCUGCAACUCCUGUGGGAUGCUGAUACUGAGAGGAUGUUAUGCAGACACUUUGAUCUCUGAGGCAAGAAACCAGAGGUAGCCUGCAGAUCAGUCCGUCCUUGAGGCUUGAGAUGAUGAAACCGGUGCACUGAGCGGGGCUGAAACUCAGGCGCUUGAUGGAAUGCCAGCUUAGAUUAGUUUUCGGGCAAGUGCCACAAAACAUCUGUCUUUAUUUCUUUGGGACAAAAUCUGACAUUUGCCUGCACUUGACCUACAGAGAGGUACGCUCUUUCAUGAUAUGAGCUCACGCUGAUUAAUUGCUGGUUUUCACUUGGUAUUGUGGUUGGAAAUAAUUGAGAAGAAUGACUUUUGGGGAUCAGAAAAAGGUUAUUUCAUCACUGUGAAAUGUUUUCAGCAUGAAGUUGAUUACUAUAAGAAGGUGAGAGUCUGUUACUAUAUUUCUCUGGGUUUAUUCUGUCCUUACUGCCCCUGCAUCACAGCCUAUUUCUCCUCAGCAUGACAAGUUACAUUCCUCUUGUGCCGAAAAAAGUGAUUCUAGUCAGCUGCCACUGAAGGGCAGCAUUGCCAAGCCAUAAAUCAAUAACACUGCAUACCAGUGUUUUUAUGGACUUGAAUUUAAAACAUAAAAUAGCUUGAUAUUGGUUGAAUAAUUAAAUUUAAAUACAUUCUGUUUUUUAUGUUCCGUGUGUUUAGCUUUUUAUAGUUUCUCUGUCCACUAUUGAUCUCAGAUGAAGAUCUUCCUUCUUUCUCUCCCGGGAAGUCACGUCUCCAUUGUUAGACUAUAAGAUAGUGAAAUCGAAGAGAAAAAGACAUUCAAAGUAACCCUCACAGGGCCUGUGACUGAGGGCUCAGCCUAAGCAUGUUUGCCACGCUUUUCAUCAGAGCAGAAGGCACAAUGACUUUGAGAGGCAGAUAAUUCAGGACUGGAAUAGUUAGGCACAUGCAUCUCACAUGCACCAUAAUUUCAGCCCAUUUUUAAAAAUGGCUCGUGUAUGUAAGAGGAAUUGCUUUAGGCUUUUCCCUCCAUCAAAUUUAAUUGUAAAUCAUUUGUCAUUGUUUGUUUUUGUGUGAAGAUGAGGUCAGGGGGCCCCGAGGAAAAGGUCAAACUUGACAUAAUGCCACUGUUUGAGUCACCUCCAUGUUUCCUUGUCUCAGAUGACACAACAUUAAAACCUGUGACAAUUAAAAUCAGUUUUGUCAU